AAUCCAGGUCCAAGUGACCUCUUGCCAUCUGCAUGUAAACGGGGACAGCCAGUGACAACAGAAUUAGACGACCUCCACUCAAGUCCAUCAAGAAGAUGGAGAAAAAUGAAGUCCCCCGUGCUAUGUGUGACUACAUAACCAGUGACGUUGGGAUCCUGGCCCUCAGGUGGAAGGACAACAAAAUUGUCACUGCUGUCAACAGACAUGGGGGUGGAGCCUAUGUCCUCUGUCUCAGGUACUGCAGCAGACACCAAGACGAAGGAGCCUGUGAGCUGUCCAGCUGUCUUCAAAAGUAACAAUGCCAACAUGGGUGGCAUUGACAAGAGCGACAUGUUGGUUCACCUCUAACACACCUCAUGAGGUCAAGGUCAAAGAGGUGGUAUUUGUGUUUUUCUUGAACAUUCUUAUACAUAUACAGUAUCCUAUUUUUGGAUAGUUAUGGGUAGAGGCAGUGUUUGUGCCUAUUUCAGAAGAAUGUUCUAAAAUGUUUUAAAUAACGUUUAUUUAUGUUUUUCUUGUGUAUUCUUAUAUGCAUACACUUGUUUGGUUUUUUUUUUUAUUACAGACGGGCAAGGAACUGUAUAUGAUCUCUUCUUGGACCUUGAUUUUUUGAGUUUGCAUGUUCUCCCCAUGUGUGCGUGGGUUUUCUCCGGGUUCUCCGGCUUCCUCCCACAGUCCAAAAACAUGCAAUAUGGGGAUUAGGUAAAUUGGACACUCUAAAUUGACCAUGAGUGUGAGAGUGAAUGGGUGUUCUCUAUGUGUGUGGCCCUGCGAUGGACUGGCUGUACCCUGCCUAUCGCCCUAUGUCAGCUGAGAUUGGCACAGCACCCCCCGCGACCCUCUGGUGGAGGAGAAAGCGGUAGAUGAUGGAUGGAUGGAACUAAAGAAAAACAAUCUUGUUAUAUCCUCUGUAAACGGUUAAUGUCUGGCAGUCUAGGAGGUCUGUUUCCUCAAUAAAUGUGCUGUACUCCUUCA